rnacentral:tRNA from 1 species
ACGUCGGUAGUGUAAGGCAUAGCAUCGCUGCUUGGAAAGCAGAAGGUGCGGGUUCGAGCCCCGCUUGAUGCA